CUCUUCUUUAACCCUUUAUUACAAGAAACACAAAUAUCAUGAAUCAUUGCAGAAAUGCAACUGAGAGGGAGAGCCAGUUCUACCAGUUUUUCUAUAUGCUACCAGGAUAUAGAGAAACAGAAGUGUAAACUGGGAGAGGAAUGGAUGGGGAGCCCUGAAGAGGCCCUGGGGGUUCAGGCUGGCAGCAGACCCAGUAUGAGGCAGCUGUGUGUCCUGGCAGCCAAGACAGCAAGCCACAUCCUGGGAUGCAUCAAAUACAGCACAGAGAGUCAGAAAAGAUCCUGCGCCAGCCAAGGCAGACCCACCCCUGGCCAAGGUGAGCCUGUCAGUGUUGAUGGUAGCACCUCUGUGAGAACAGAUUUAAGAAGACAGAAAAAACCUGAGCAAAAGCAACUGCAGCUGGAGAGAGGACUGAGAACAUGAAGGGAGAAGCUCUGAAGAUGCCAACAUCAGUGAAGGAGGAGGGAGAGGAGGCGCUCCAUGCACUAGAACAGAGAUGGCCUGGCAGCCCGUGAUGCAGACUGUGGCGAGACCAGCUAUCCCCCUGCAACCCAAAAAGGUCCACAGUGGAGCAGCACAAGGAGGAACCCACACCAGGGCAGCUGGAUGUCCAAAAGGAGCCUGUGAUCCUGUGGGAAGCCCAACUGGAGCAGAUUUGCUGGAAGGACUUGUGCUGUCAUUGGGGGUCCCACACUGAAGCAGUGUACAAGGCACACAUGCUGGAGCAUUUAAUGAAGAACUACAGACCUGGGAAGGUCUCACCUUGUAGAAGUUUAUGCAGCUCUGUCUCAUGUGGGAGGGACCUCAUGAUGGAGCAGAUGAUGAGUGUGAGGAAUCCAGCCCCAGAGAAGGAAGCAGCAGCAGAGACAAUGUGUGAUGAACUGGCUGCAGCCCACAUUCCCUGUUCACCUGCACAACUGGCAGGAAGAGGGAAUCAAGUUCAGCACUUGAAAGAAGGCAGCAAUGAGGGGAAGGUGUUUAGCAUUUGGUUUUAUAGCUCAUUAUUGUACUCUGAUUUUGACAGGUAAUAAGUUGAACUUAUUUUUCCCCAAGUCGAGUCUGAUUUGCCUGUGACAGUAAUUGCUGAGUGAUCUCUCCCUGUCCUUAUCUCAACUGACAAUCCUUUUGUUACAUUUUCUCUGCCCUGUCCAGCCAAGAAGGGGACUGACAGAGUGGCUUCAGUGGGCACCUGAUAUCGAGCCAAGGUCAGUCCCUCCUCCUGGUGACUUUUAAAUGAAGUAUUAAAAUCUAUGGGAACAAGAUGACUGUAAAGAAUUACAGCUCAUUUGAAUAACAGCACCUCCAACGCACUGACUUUUGCUAGCAUUGCAGUUGCAGCAUGAUAUGAUUACUUUGUAAUCACGGGCAAUAGAGAUUUGGA